GUUAGUCGCUGGCUCGCGGGAGGCCUGUGGGCAUGCGCCGAGUGGGGCCGCCGCUGCCGCCGAGGCUUUUGGAGACGAAACCGAAGCUGAAGGCAGUUUGUAGGCAGGGAAGCACCUGAAGAAGUAAGAGGUGGUGCGAUUUCGGCUGCGACGACCCACGUAGCCUGGUCCUGUGAAUGGUUUCCCGGCUUUCUGGGUCUUCAUCACCCAGCAGUGGAAACACGCAGGAAAACAAGCGGACAGAAAUAGAUGGAUGCCUAAUUUCUUUUACUGAUUUCUGCAAAAUCUCAGAAUGGAACCCUGUUCAACUGAAUCUGGAAGGUUUCUUUAAAUAUUCCACUGAGACAUAUUUCGCUAAAAUAGCUAAAUCCUUUUGAGUGAAAUCCCUAAAGAUUAGCACCCUUUCAGGCAAUUUAGCUGCUGAAGAAAAGAGAAGGAAGACACAGUUCUGCAUAUCAAAGCUGUUUAAAAGAAGUGUUAAAAAGGUCUGUGGCUCACUAUGAGAGGUCUUAAAACCAAUGGCACACUUGGCUAAGAGAAAGUUGGCACAGCUCACUUGCAUUGUGAAAUUAAUAUUCAGAUUAUACACAUUUUAGAAAUAUAGGAAGUUGUGUUAUAUCAGUUCAGACCAUUGAUCCAUCUAUGCUGAUUUAGCAGGGAAUCUCUAGGGUUUCAGCAAGGAAUAUUUCCCAGCCCUUAAUGGAAAGGCUAGGGAUUGAACCUGGGACCUUUGUCUGCAAAACAUGUGCUCUACCAUUGAGCUAUAGACCUUCAUUUAACAUACAGGAACAUAGGAAGCUAAUUUAUACCGAUUCAGACCUUUGCAUAAUGUAACUCAGUAUUGGCACUGACUGGCAGUGGCAUUCUAGGGUUUCAGACGCAUUUCUCUAAGCCCUACCUAUAAAUGCUGGGGACUGGGCCCUUUUGCAUGUAAAACAGUUGUUGUACCACUGAGCUAUAGCUCUUCCCCAAUUUCUUGUGCCUUUGCAUUUUUAUAAAAAAAUAGGGGAGGGGCUUUUUAUUUCACCUUUUCAGCAACCCAUUGUAUAUGCUCUUGUAGCUGUUUUUUUAGA